rnacentral:rRNA from 1 species
AACGAACGCUGGCGGCAUGCCUAACACAUGCCAGUCGAACGAGACCUCCGGGUCUAGUGGCGCACGGGUGCGUAACGCGUGGGAACCUGCCCGUAGGUUCGGAAUAACUCCCCGAAAGGGGUGCUAAUACCGGAUAAUGUCUUCGGACCAAAGAUUUAUCGCCUUUGGAUGGGCCCGCGUUGGAUUAGCUGGUUGGUAGGGUAAAAGCCUACCAAGGCGACGAUCCAUAGCUGGUCUGAGAGGAUGAUCAGCCACACUGGGACUGAGACACGGCCCAGACUCCUACGGGAGGCAGCAGUGGGGAAUAUUGGACAAUGGGCGAAAGCCUGAUCCAGCAAUGCCGCGUGAGUGAUGAAGGCCUUAGGGUUGUAAAGCUCUUUUACCCGGGAUGAUAAUGACGGUACCGGGAGAAUAAGCUCCGGCUAACUCCGUG